CGAUAAACAAUAAUAUAGUACUUGGUUGCUUAUCAAUUGGUGCGGUGAGCUGUUCGAUCGCUGAGACGGUGACGGUGACCUCAAUCAGACGCAACGGUGAAGACGGAUCAUAACAAUGGGUUCUGAGAAGUUUCCGGUCUUCAAUGGCGUUACUGAUGAAUUGCGGCCAUGGAUUUCAUCAAUUGAGGUUGGAACGAUCAAACGCGACGGUGAGACGUCUGGCGCUUUGCGAAGAACUUCAAUGGAGGUUUCAAGAGACGUUUCAACAGAAUCGAUACAGUCCGGAGCAUUUACGAUGGGAUUCAUGGAGAUUCCUGUGUUUUCGCUACAAGAAAAAUGAGUUUUAAUAGCAGACCGGAAUAGCGUUUUUUACGAUUGUGCUAUAGUUGACAUACCCGUUAGUUUUAGAUAGCGUUUGUAUAUUUGGAAACGCUAUGAUAGAGUGGUAUAUUUGGAAACGCUAUGAUAACAUAUGGUUUUAUAUGUAUCACUUGGGUUUUUAUAGCAAAACAUGAUUAAAAACGCUAUGUUUGGUUUUUAAAUCCCUAAACCCUAAAACAAGUUUUUAAACCCUAAACUCUAAAUACAAAUUUUAAACUCUAUUUUAACAUCAAAUCUUAAAUUUAACUUCAAAUGUAAACUCAAAAAUUAAUCAUUUCCAAAAAUUUAUCUCAAAUCUUAAAAUCAAUAUCCCAAACCUUUAACUUUUAAACCAUAAACUCAUACAUUUAUUCUAAACUCAAAAUUUUAAAUAUAAAGUAAUUAAAAAAAAUAUCAACACUAAAUAAAAAUUCAAAAAUUAUUUCUUUUUCAAAAAUUAAUAUUAAAUCAAUACUCUAAACCUUUAAUCCUCAAACCCUAUACUCAAACCUUUAUUCCAAACUCAAACUUUAAAUCUAAAAUCUAAAGACAAACUUUUCAAACCCUAUACUCAAACAUUUAAACCUUUAAACUAAUUUCAUUUACUUAUACUCUUUUACUUUAAACCUUUAAACUAAUUUCAUAUUACAGUUUAAAAUUUUUUGACUUGGAGUAAUGGUUAUAUACGAACCACACGAUCUUCUUUUGGAUCUAAAGUUAGGGAUCCACUAACCGUUUUCUGAUUGGUCAGUGUGGGGUGACAAAGAUAGCUACUUUCAGCCUUUGAUAAAUGUUGAUCCAACGGCCACAGUUAAUUAAUCAAUUUUUCUAAUUUAUUUCUGCCUCAGAUUUUUUUUCUUUCCUUUCUAUUUUGUUCUUCUUCCCUACGCCAUCAACAUAUCUCUUCUUCUUUUCUGUAUCUCUGCACAUAUUUCUUUCUUAUUCUCUAAACCACCACCACCACCGUCUCUUCUUAUUCCUCUUGUUCGAAUGGCGGUGGACUCCGAAGAAGGAAGGAUGAGAAGACAACAUGGUCGAGAUCUGGAAAUCCAAGUGUAGGAGAGCUUGCUCAAGAAGUGUCGCGAAGGUCUUCAAUCCACACAGAAACUUCAAUACGUUGCUUCUCCAUUGCUUCUGCUUCAUCGAUCCAGAAACAGUUGGAGAGCUUGCUGUCUAUAGUUGGUGGAGUAUGGUCAGUGAAUAGAAAAUCUUGAAGCUUGAGACAAAGGUGCGCGGAGAGGAUAGAUAAGCCGGAGACGAACUUGACGGUGGUGUAUGGGAUGAGCUUGGCAGUGGUGAGCCGAAGACGAGCUCGACGACAGUGAGUGGGAAGAGCCAUGGUGAUUCCGUCAUCAUCUCCAACAUCGAAGGAAAGAAGAGAGAGACGCGAGGGCUUGGUUGUCACAGCAAAUGGUGGUUGACGGCGGCGGAGCUAAGAAGCUUGAAACCGGCGUGGUUUUGUUAUUAGGUUUAGUUAGCAAAUAUGUUUAGGUCUAAGCUUGGUUUAGGUCUAAGCUUGGUUUAGUUUUGGUUUAUUUUUUUUAUAUGUAAACCGUUUUUAGUUUAUGAAUAAUUCAAUUUAAAAUAUUUAAAAUAUUUUUUUCUAUUUUUUUUUUAAUUUUUCAAUAAUGUAAUAAUAACAAUAAAAACACGCUAUUAAAGAAUAUUUAAUUGCAUACAAAAAAGCGCUAUCGUAUCGGAAGAAAAGAUAGCAGAGCAUAAAACCGCUAUGUAAUGUCCUUUACCUAUUAUGGCGGACGAUGAUACAGCGCUUCAAAAACCGCUAUAGUAUCGUUAUAUAGCGUUAUUCGUCCGCUAUUAAAACUCAUUUUUCUUGUAAUUUCUGGUGAUGAUUUGAGACCAUGGAUUAAUUGGAUGGAGAAUCGAUUUGCGGCGGAAGACUUCACGGAUGAUCAGAAGAUGGCCUUGGCUUACGCUGUCAUCAGAGGAGAAGCUGAGUCUUGGUACAACAAUCGAGUAUCGCGGCGUCCUUUUCAAAAUUGGAAAGACCUCAAAGAUGCGAUGUUUCUGCGGUAUGGAAACCAUGACGAUCCAUAGCGAAUUGUUUUUUGCUUGGAGUUGGAAAGAAAGUGGCAAGAAACAGAGAUGACGAGGCCAUCACCAUCGUUCGUGGUAACUGAUUCGAUUCCAUAGGCUGAUGCGACUAACAUAGAAGAAACAGAUUCAUGUCUGGUGACUGAUUGUGAUCAUGACGACGAUGAUAACGAUCAUGAUGAUUCUGGUUUCAUGCAAGAAGCUCUACACUAUGAAGAAACGAUUCUGGCAGAGGAGGAGGAGGUAGAAUUGAAGCCAGAGGACAGAACAAGAUGAGUUUAGCUCCUAAGUCUUGGAUGUUUAAAUUCAAAGGGCACCUAGAGAUGGGUUUAGCUCAUAAGUCUUGGAUGUUUAAAUUCAGUGCGUGAGUCUGAUGUACCGAGAUGGUUUGAACCUUUCGAGGAAGACGUUUCUGGUUCUGAAAAACACUGGUCAGAUAUUUCAACUUGGAGCCACAAAGAGGCAAAAUGAACUUCAGGACCUGAGAAAAUCGAACCAAGCUCACUUAUCAAAGUUCUUAUGUAGACAGUGGAUGAGAUUUCAAUACGCAUUUUCAUGUAUUGACUUUGUGUGUUUUAAAUUUUUAAUAGAAAACUAUA